rnacentral:lncRNA from 1 species
AGGAAACUUAAAUGCAGAACCAGGCUUGAUCCGAGGCCUCCAGGAAUCCCGGUCUCUUGUGCAAUAUACUAUACCCAUUUCUUUAUUACCCACAAGGGGCUAAACAGAGAGGGGACAGACAUAGGUAUUCAGUCGAUUACAUUGACCCCAGUGCGCAACUGGUACUUAAUUUAUCGACCCCGAAAGGAUGAAAAGCAAAGUCGACCUCGGCGGAAUUUGAACUCAGAACGUAAGACACGAAAUACCUAUUUCUUUAUUACCCACAAGGGGCUAAACACAGAGGGGACAAACAAGGACAGACAUAGGUAUUAAGUCGAUUAAAUCAACCCCAGUGCGUAACUGGUACUUAAUUUAUCGACCCCGAAAGGAUGAAAGGCAAAGUCGACCUCGGCGGAAUUUGAACUCAGAACGUAAAGACACGAAAUACCGCAAAGCAUUGCGCCCGGCGUGCUAACGUUUCUGCCGUAUCGAAUACACAGACACUGUUUUUGAAGUUGGUUAAUUUGCAUACGGUGUACUAAAAUAGUUUUGUCCAUGACUUUUGGGCAAAUUUUUCCUUAACGACGGAAGUGUAGAAUAAGUUCCCGCCUCUGAAUCAUUCAGGAAGUUCUUCAAAUUACACUCCGACGUCAUUCCUUGGUCAUUUUUUCAUUAGGUGUGUCAGUUAGAAAGUUUCAGACACAAUGGACCAGCAAACACGAGGCGUUGGCUGCUAUGACACCACAGCUGAAAAAGGUGUCCUUCAUCGAGUACCUGACAAGAGUACUGAGAAGCUACAAUAAAGAAAAUGUUUCGCCAGGAACAACACUUUUUACUGAUAAAGGGGCAAGCUAUUGUAUUGUCCGCCAACUUGGAUGUAUUCACCGAAUGGCGAAUCAGGCCGAGAAUUUCCUUGAUCCAAAUCCCGAGGUAUACACUAACCAUAUUGGUUUCACAUGGGGCGCUUAAAUCAAAAUCCCACCCAUGGAAAGUCUCAUGAAAUACAUAUGUGGUUCGACGGAGGAUAUGAAAAUGGGCGGAGGUGAAAGAAAAUACGCACACUGCCCGUUUUCGGCGUAACAAAAACCCUAACCCUAACCACAGGGUCUUUACUUUCGCCUGAAAAUAGAAGCGUGUCGACAAAGCUGUGAACCAUAGGUUUAUCCGCCCUAAAUUCUAACGGUACGUAACAUGAAAUCUCUGAUAUUAUUUUGACCUUUUCCGUUUUGUCUCCAUUCAAAGCUGACCACUGACUCUUCUAUUUCCAGAUACAGUAUUUUAAACCAAAUGUGUUCUCAUAUACCAGAUUAUGGAUCAGAUUAUAGUGUGCUGAUUGAGUUUGCCGCAAGAAAUUUUCAGUGCGAACAUUGAUGCAGUUUCUCUCCAUGAAAAAUUCUCUCUCGUUCAUAUGAGAUGGCGAACAAGGAAGUUCUCUGCAAUGCGGAUUUGAUUUUAUCUACUUUCAGGCAGUCAAGAUAAUUUCUUUAAAAAGGUCAACAAGCUAACAGAAUGAAUUCUAAUUCUGACUUUCUGAAAUUGUGAAAAACAAUAAUAUUAAUAAUUAUUAUUGAUAAAGUACAUUGCAUAUAUAUAUAUAUAUAUAUAUAUAUAUAUUAUAUAUGGAAAGUUCGUCUUGUGAAAUAUAAUUGGACAAUUAUUCAAUGCCAUAUAAAUUUCAUUUUUCAUUUGUAAAAAAUAAAAAAGUUACAAUUAUGAACUUUUGGACUUGGUUUUAAUUUAAUGUCAGACUUCAGAAAACCUGUAAACACUGAGUUUUUUAUUUUCGAUUGAAUAUAUUUUUGUAUAUUUAAGAAUUGGAAACUAAAAUUUUUCUUCACAUCUGG